GGCUCGUUGGUCUAGGGGUAUGAUUCUCGCUUCCGGUGUGAGAAGUCACGGGUUCAAAUCCCGAACGAGCCC
rnacentral:tRNA from 2 species